UUGCAUGUUGCACCCCGGGCUUACCUGAUUAUCCUUGUGACGGCAAAAGCCCCAAUGCACGUGCUAAAGCGGCGCCGUUCAGUGUUGCAGUUUGGCUUCGAUAUUGUUCCACGGCUUAUCUGUGUCAAAGAAACGGCUACAUCU